GUCUUUUUCUGCCUUCUGGUGGUCGUGGGAUGAAGGCCCCCAAGUCUUCAUCUUUGGCCGCUCUCCUUAUAAGGCAUAUCUCUAUUAGCACAGCUGGAGAGAAGAAGAAGAGGCUGCUGUGGAGAAAGCUUUUAGCUAAACCCAGAAAGUUUGGAAGAAAAACGAAUGGAUACCAGCAAGAUUGUGUCACAAAUGCUACAGAAAGCAUCACAUGGAAAGAAACCAAAGUUCCUCUUUUAUUACACACACCCAUGUCAACAGCCACUGUUAUAACCCAUCCAAAUUAAGAACCUGUAGGCAAAAUGGAGAAAAUUAUUGGGUUACAAGAAAUUUAGGAAAAAGUGGUAAUAGAUUUGGAAUUGAAUGUCCAAAAGAAGAGAGAUGGAUUUGUUUUACAUUUAAUCUUAAAAGAUACGUUUCAAGAUUCAGUAAAAAAACAAAUAGUAAAUAAAAAGGUAAAACCAGCACAGCAAUUUAACUCUGUAUUGACUCCAAAAUAUAUGUUGAAUCGUAUUACGGGACUCCAAGCAGUUAUAGAAAUGAUAACAAAUAAAGCUGCCCAGGCAUUAGAGUUAAUAUCAAGUCAGCAAAGCCAAACAAAAACUGUAGUGUAUCAGAAUAGGUUGGCUUUAGACUAUUUAUUGGCUAAAAAAGGGGGUGUUUGUGGAAAGUUUAAUAUAUCAGAUUGUUGAAAAUUGAUGACCACAGAAAAGUCAUUCUAGAAAAAGCAAAAGAAAUCAAAGAAGGCAUAUAUAUAUAUAUGCAUAUAAUAACCCAGGUACCAGUCCAAAAAUUAGAAAACAAUGUUAAAACCUAGCUGAUGGUGUAAUGUAUUAGAAGAAAUUAAGAUCUUUCAUUUUAUGUGUUACAACUAUUUUUGUAUUUCUUCCUUGUGUAAUCCCCUAUUUUAUUUUGCCAGCAUAGUCAAGAAGAUGCAAGUAGACAAGAGAUAUUGCUCAAACCAAAUAAUUUGCAAAUAAUAAGAGUGGGGAUUGUGAAAAAUACAUGUAUUUUAUGAUUGGCUUUUUGCAAAUAUUAAAAUGAAUAUUAUAUGUGUUGUGUUAGAAAGUAAUGCUGUAUUAAUUCUCUUAAGUGCUGUGUUAAAUACAGUUUUGGGUUAUAAAAAUUGUUAAAAUAGAAACAAUGCUAUGUAGGAUACCUUUUUUAAAGAAAGGACUUGCAGCGAGAUAACAGCCACAGGACACCUAAAUCUUUCAGAGAAAAAGAAUUUAUUGCUCUCUUAUCAGAAGAAACAAACUACUUCCUGCCUCGAAGGUGCUGUUAGGAUUCAGAGGAAGAAGUU